rnacentral:rRNA from 1 species
UACAGAGGUCUCAAGCGUUGUUCGGAUUCAUUGGGCGUAAAAGGGGUGCGUAGCGGCGCGGUAAGUCGGGUGUGAAAUCUUGGAGCUUAACUCCGAAACUGCAUUCGAUACUGCCGUGCUUGAGGACUGGAGAGGAGACUGGAAUUUACGGUGUAGCGGUGAAAUGCGUAGAUAUCGUAAGGAAGACCAGUGGCGAAGGCGGGUCUCUGGACAGUUCCUGACGCUGAGGCACGAAGGCCAGGGGAGCAAACGGG